AUUGCUGCGUGGUGUUUGUGAGGUAUGCUUUGUGGAGCAAUAUUGUUCACAUUUCCUCAUUGCAGCACUACGCCAUAUAUUAUGUCGGUUAUUGCUGCAUGGUGUCUGUGAGGUAUGCUUUGUGGAGCAAUAUUGUUUACAUUUCCUCAUUGCAGCACUACGCCAUAUAUUAUGUCAUAAUAACAUUGAGCACUGCUUCAACUUCGGGAAUUUGGAAUGGCUGUAGAACAGUGCCCCUAGAUGUUCAGAGUUGUAUUGUUAAGUAAGAAGAAAACAAUCUGCAUAGUCUUAGGAUAUGUUGCCUUUACCUUAAAAGUGAAUGCACAUAUGACAGCUAAUCUGAUAUGUGAUAUGUGGACUUAUCAUUUAUGGUCAUCUUAUGACUGCUUACUUGAGUUUUAACAGUUCUACAACCUGG
rnacentral:lncRNA from 1 species